rnacentral:rRNA from 1 species
GACGAACGCUGGCGGCGUGCUUAACACAUGCAAGUCGAGCGGUAAGGCCCUUUCGGGGGUACACGAGCGGCGAACGGGUGAGUAACACGUGGGUGACCUGCCCUCAGCUCUGGGAUAAGCCUGGGAAACCGGGUCUAAUACCGGAUAUGACUCCAUGACGCAUGUUGUGGGGUGGAAAGCCCUGUGCGGCUGAGGAUGGGCCCGCGGCCUAUCAGCUUGUUGGUGGGU